rnacentral:rRNA from 1 species
UAGGGAAUCUUCGGCAAUGGGGGCAACCCUGACCGAGCAACGCCGCGUGAGUGAAGAAGGUUUUCGGAUCGUAAAGCUCUGUUGUAAGUCAAGAACGAGUGCGAGAGUGGAAAGUUCACACUGUGACGGUAGCUUACCAGAAAGGGACGGCUAACUACGUGCCAGCAGCCGCGGUAAUACGUAGGUCCCGAGCGUUGUCCGGAUUUAUUGGGCGUAAAGCGAGCGCAGGCGGUUUGAUAAGUCUGAAGUUAAAGGCUGUGGCUCAACCAUAGUUCGCUUUGGAAACUGUCAAACUUGAGUGCAGAAGGGGAGAGUGGAAUUCCAUGUGUAGCGGUGAAAUGCGUAGAUAUAUGGAGGAACACCGGUGGCGAAAGCGGCUCUCUGGUCUGUAACUGACGCUGAGGCUCGAAAGCGUGGGGAGCGAACAGGAUUAGAUACCCUGGUAGUCCACGCCGUAAACGAUGAGUGCUAGGUGUUGGAUCCUUUCCGGGAUUCAGUGCCGCAGCUAACGCAUUAAGCACUCCGCCUGGGGAGUACGACCGCAAGGUUG